AAAAAGGACCCUUCUGAGGGAAAUGCAAGCUCAUCAAAAGGAAAGGGGAAAGCUGUUUUGAAAUCUACUGAUGAAGGAAGAGGACCCCAAACUAGAAAUGCUGCUCGCAGAAGAGCAGCAUCGGAUAAAGACACCGAGAUGAAACCUGUACAUGGUGACUCAAGCUCUGAGGAUGAGGAGUUGGACAUGUCUCAUGUUGAGAU
rnacentral:misc_RNA from 1 species